rnacentral:rRNA from 1 species
CCUACGGGAGGCAGCAGUGGGGAAUUUUGGACAAUGGGCGCAAGCCUGAUCCAGCAAUGCCGCGUGCAGGAUGAAGGCCUUCGGGUUGUAAACUGCUUUUGUACGGAACGAAACGGUCUGCUCUAAUAAAGCGGGCUAAUGACGGUACCGUAAGAAUAAGCACCGGCUAACUACGUGCCAGCAGCCGCGGUAAUACGUAGGGUGCGAGCGUUAAUCGGAAUUACUGGGCGUAAAGCGUGCGCAGGCGGUUAUAUAAGACAGAUGUGAAAUCCCCGGGCUCAACCUGGGACCUGCAUUUGUGACUGUAUAGCUAGAGUACGGUAGAGGGGGAUGGAAUUCCGCGUGUAGCAGUGAAAUGCGUAGAUAUGCGGAGGAACACCGAUGGCGAAGGCAAUCCCCUGGACCUGUACUGACGCUCAUGCACGAAAGCGUGGGGAGCAAACAGGAUUAGAUACCCUGGUAGUCCACGCCCUAAACCGAUGUCAACUGGUUGUUGGGUCUUCACUGACUCAGUAACGAAGCUAACGCGUGAAGUUGACCGCCUGGGGGAGGUACGGCCGCGAGUAGUAACGUACGAAGUAGAGUUAGACGGCGUGAGAGUUGCGACGGACGACGACGAGGGAGGAGG